GCACAGAAUGGCGUCUCCCUUCCCUCUGGCAACAGGAAAGGAUGGCAGGUUGUGCCGCGGUGAACACUCGCAACACGUGCAGGAGGAAAGUGAGAACCUGCUUCAUUACAUCAUGUACCCUCUAUUUUGGAACUCGCUGUUAAAGAUUUUUUUUUUUCUCAUGUCAACCGAAUCCUGUCACUGUUGCCUGCCUUUCUCCUGUCUGCUUGCCACCAAUUUAUUAAGGAAAGAAAGGAUGUGCUUCCAUGGUAUUGUGUCAGUAGUAUUAUCCAUUGAAGGAUUAGUUUAAACCUUUUUACAAAGCGUUGUUUUAUCUCCCAUUUUUCUGCCUUCUUAGGGUAUGUAUAUGAAAGAAGAAAGAAUGUAAAUUUA